UACGUAGGGGGCGAGCGUUGUCCGGAGUUACUGGGCGUAAAGGGUGCGCAGGCGGUCGGGUGUGUCAGAUGUGAAAUCCCGAGGCUCAACCUCGGAACUGCGUCUGAAACUACUCGACUAGAGUACUGGAGAGGGUAACGGAAUUCACGGUGUAGCAGUGAAAUGCGUAGAUAUCGUGAGGAACACCAGAGGCGAAGGCGGUUACCUGGACAGUUACUGACGCUCAGGCACGAAAGCAUGGGGAGCAAAAGGG
rnacentral:rRNA from 1 species